GACGAACGCUGGCGGCGUGCUUAACACAUGCAAGUCGAGCGGAAAGGCCCACUUGUGGGUACUCGAGCGGCGAACGGGUGAGUAACACGUGAGUAAUCUGCCCUUCACUUGGGGAUAACGUCCAGAAAUGGGUGCUAAUACCCGGUAUUCCCAGGUCCACGCAUGUGGGUGUGGGGAAAGGUUUUUCUGGUGGGGGAUGUGCUCGCGGCCUAUCAGCUUGUUGGUGGGGUAAUGGCCUACCAAGGCUUUGACGGGUAGCCGGCCUGAGAGGGUGACCGGCCACACUGGGACUGAGACACGGCCCAGACUCCUACGGGAGGCAGCAGUGGGGAAUAUUGGACAAUGGGCGGAAGCCUGAUCCAGCAACGCCGCGUGAGGGAUGACGGCCUUCGGGUUGUAAACCUCUUUCGACAUUGACGAAGCCCUUUUGGGGUGACGGUAGGUGUAGAAGAAGGACCGGCCAACUACGUGCCAGCCGCCGCCGUAAAAC
rnacentral:rRNA from 1 species